CCUACGGGGGGCUGCAGUAAGGAAUAUUGGUCAAUGGACGAAAGUCUGAACCAGCCAUCCCGCGUGCAGGAUGACUGCCCUAUGGGUUGUAAACUGCUUUUAGUAGAGAAGAAACGCAGUCAUUUAUGAUUGCCUGACGGUACCUACAGAAUAAGCACCGGCUAACUCCGUGCCAGCAGCCGCGGUAAUACGGAGGGUGCGAGCGUUAUCCGGAAUCACUGGGUUUAAAGGGUGCGUAGGCGGGGAAUUAAGUCAGUGGUGAAAUCUUGUCGCUUAACGAUAAAAUUGCCAUUGAUACUGAUUUUCUUGAAUUGGGUUGAGGUUAGCGGAAUGUGACAUGUAGCGGUGAAAUGCAUAGAUAUGUCAUGGAACACCAAUUGCGAAGGCAGCUAGCUGGGCCUUGAUUGACGCUGAGGCACGAAAGCGUGGGUAGCGAACAGGAUUAGAUACCCGAGUAGUC
rnacentral:rRNA from 1 species